rnacentral:rRNA from 1 species
AUUGAACGCUGGCGGCAGGCCUAACACAUGCAAGUCGAGCGAGCGGCGGACGGGUGAGUAAUGUCUGGGAAACUGCCUGAUGGAGGGGGAUAACUACUUGAAACGGUAGCUAAUACCGCAUACCAUCAGAUGUGCCCAGAUGGGAUUAGCUAGUAGGUGGGGUAACGGCUCACCUAGGCGACGAUCCCUAGCUGGUCUGAGAGGAUAACCAGCCACACUGGAACGGAGACACGGUCCAGACUCCAAAGGGAGGCGGAGUAGGGGAAUAUUGCACAAUGGGCGCAAGCCUGAUGCAGCCAGGCGGCGUGUGUGAAGAAGGCCUUCGGGUUGUAAAGCACUUUCAGCGGGGAGGCGUUACCCGCAGAAGAAGCACCGGCUAACUCCGUGCCAGCAGCCGCGGUAAUUC